CCUACGGGUGGCAGCAGUGAGGAAUAUUGGUCAAUGGACGAAAGGCUGAACCAGCCAAGUAGCGUGAAGGAUGACGGCGCUAAGGGUUGUAGACCUCUUUUGUCAGGGGAUAAAACGCGGGACGCGUCCCGUCCUGCGGGUACUUGAUGAAAAAGCAUCGGCUAACUCCGUGCCAGCAGCCGCGGUAAUACGGAGGAUCCGAGCGUUAUCCGGAUUCAUUGGGUUUAAAGGGAGCGUAGGUGGGUUGUUAAGGCCGUUGUGAAAGUUUGCGGCUCAACCGCAACAUUGCCUUUGAUACUGGCAGUCUUGAGUACAGUUGAGGUAGGCGGAAUGCGCGGUGUAGCGGUGAAAUGCAUAGAUAUCGCGAAGAACCCCGAUUGCGAAGGCAGCGUACUAAGCUGUGACUGACAUUGAUGCUCGAAAGUGUGGGGAUCAAACAGGAUUAGAUACCCCAGUAGUC
rnacentral:rRNA from 1 species